rnacentral:lncRNA from 1 species
AACACAAUAGCAGAGUAGUUCGUAUACUUGUGCUCUGGGAAUCACGUGAAAGCGUAAUAGUUCCUCGUUGGAAGCUGGCUCUCAGCAGAAGGUACCGAGACAACCUGAAGAACCCAGUUCCUGUUCUCCUCUAAGUGAUGCUGUUCACCCUCCUCCUACUGCGAGCCCCGCAUCCUUCCUCGUCCUUUCUCCAGUUCCCUCAACUGCUGGUUCAGCCUGGAAGAGACCGUCUCUGAUGACCUAUUAACUCUGGGAGCAGACUGAUGGAGCUUCCUCUGCCCUCCUCGGGCCCAGAAAACAGCCCUAACGUGCGGAUGAGAGCCCAGGCCGACCUCUGAUUGGGAGGGAGGCUUGGAGAGUUGCAAGCUGCUCCAUCAGCACGGAAGUAGGUGCCAGCGAGGGAGAGGAUGAGCCAGGCCAGCGUGGGGUCCGUAAGCGCAGCGAAGACGUAGAGUACA